GGCUUAACACAUGCAAGUCGAGGGGCAUCAGGAAGGUAGCUUGCUAUCUUCGCUGGCGACCGGCGCACGGGUGCGUAACACGUAUCGAACCUACCCCAUGCUCAGGGAUAGCCCUCUGAAAGGAGGAUUAACACCUGAUGGUUUCAAACGGCCGCAUGACUGUUUGAAUAAAGUUUUACGGCAUGGGAUGGCGAUGCGUCUGAUUAGCUUGUUGGCGGGGUAACGGCCCACCAAGGCAACGAUCAGUAGGGGUUCUGAGAGGAAGGUCCCCCACACUGGAACUGAGACACGGUCCAGACUCCUACGGGAGGCAGCAGUGAGGAAUAUUGGUCAAUGGUCGAGAGACUGAACCAGCCAAGUAGCGUGCAGGAAGACGGCCCUAUGGGUUGUAAACUGCUUUUAUACGGGAAUAAAGUGAGGCACGGGUGCCUUUUUGUAUGUACCGUAUGAAUAAGCAUCGGCUAAUUCCGUGCCAGCAGCCGCGGUAAUACGGAAGAUGCGGGCGUUAUCCGGAUUUAUUGGGUUUAAAGGGAGCGUAGGCGGGAUGUCAAGUCAGCGGUAAAAUGUCGGCGCCCAACGUCGGCCCGCCGUUGAAACUGGCGUUCUUGAAUGCGGUCAAGGGAGACGGAAUUCGCCAUGUAGCGGUGAAAUGCUUAGAUAUGGCGAAGAACUCCGAUUGCGAAGGCAGUCUCCUGGUCCGUGAUUGACGCUGAGGCUCGAAAAGCGCGGGUAUCUAACAGGAUUAGAUACCCUGGUAGUCCGCGCUGAAACGAUGGAUACUCGUUUUGGCGAUAUAUUGUCA
rnacentral:rRNA from 1 species